GUAGGGAAUAUUGGGCAAUGGAUGCAAGUCUGACCCAGCCAUCCCGCGUGCCGGAAGAAGGCCCUCAGGGUUGUAAACGGCUUUUGACGGUGAAGAAUCGACAGGAUGCGUCCUGUUUUGACGGUAGCCGUUGAAUAAGCACCGGCUAACUCCGUGCCAGCAGCCGCGGUAAUACGGAGGGUGCGAGCGUUGUCCGGAUUUAUUGGGUUUAAAGGGUGCGUAGGCUGGAAGGUCAGUCAGCGGUGAAAAGCUGUCGCUUAACGAUAGGCCUGCCGCAGAUACUUCCUUUCGUGGAUGAGGAGGAGGCCACUGGAACGGAUGGUGUAGCGGUGAAAUGCAUAGAUAUCAUCCAGAACACCGAUUGCGAAGGCAGGUGGCUGUACCUUAAUCGACGCUGAUGCACGAAAGCAUGGGGAGCAAACAGGAUUAGAUACCCCUGUAGUCC
rnacentral:rRNA from 1 species